rnacentral:lncRNA from 1 species
ACUACCCUAACCCCAUGUACCCACCAUCGUUGGCGCACCACCGCCAACUUCACCCAUUGUGCCGCAUGACUCCACCCCCCACAAACCAUCGCACCACACCUCCAGUCUCGCCUUCGCCAACAAUGGUUCUGUUUUUGUUUGUUUUUUUUUUCUCAGAUCUCGUUGUGGCAGUGUAUGUUGGCACUGUGUGUGGGUUUAUUUUUUUUUUUCAGAUCUCUGUGGGGGAGGAGAUGGUGCACCACGUCGACAACGAACCACCGCACCGUUGGCCUUGCCUUCAC